rnacentral:rRNA from 1 species
CAGUAGCCGCGGUAAUACGUAGGUGGCAAGCGUUGUCCGGAUUUAUUGGGCGUAAAGCGAGCGCAGGCGGUCAAUUAAGUCUGAUGUGAAAGCCCCCGGCUCAACCGGGGAGGGUCAUUGGAAACUGGUUGACUUGAGUGCAGAAGAGGAGAGUGGAAUUCCAUGUGUAGCGGUGAAAUGCGUAGAUAUAUGGAGGAACACCAGUGGCGAAGGCGACUCUCUGGUCUGUAACUGACGCUGAGGCUCGAAAGCGUGGGUAGCAAACAGGAUUAGAUACCCGGGUAGUCCCUGUCUCUUAUAC